AUGACUAGGGAUAACCUUAGGAAGAGACACAUCAUCAAACCCCUUAAUUGUGUUUACUGCUUGGAACAAGAGUCUUGUUCUCACCUAUUUUUUGAAUGUAUAGUUGCUAAACAUCUCUGGGCCCACAUUGAGGAAUAUUUCUCUAGUCAGAUUGGCUCAUCCUUUGAAUCUGUUGCCAGAUUCUGGAUUGCUACCAAAAAGUGCUCAGUUUUAAACACUGUUAGCUCAGCGGUCCUUUGGUGCCUCUGGAAAUAUAGAAAUGCUAUGAUUUUGAGUAACACCUCCUGGAUCUCCAUUCCGCGGGUCUUGAGGUUGAUCAGUAACAUGGUGAGGAACUGGGCGAUUCUCUCCUCUGGAUCAGACAAGGACAAGUUGACGAGCUUCAUGGAAACCCUAACAAGAUCCCUCCAAAAACCGUUGGCGAUCACUUGUGGCUGA
rnacentral:rRNA from 1 species